GCUGCAGUGCCAGAGCGGUUUAUUGGAACGGUCUCGAAAACCGUUAGCCCUUUACGGGGCACGAGGGUUCGAAACCCUCCUGCAGCG
rnacentral:tRNA from 3 species